ensembl:snRNA U6 U6 spliceosomal RNA
AUAUUCCCUUCAGCAAUACAUAUACUAAAAUUGGAAUACAGAGAAAAUUAGCAUGGUCCUUUCUCGAGGAUGACACACCCAUUUGCGAAGAGUUCUAUUUGUAG